GAACGCAUCUUGCGCUCCUUGGUAUUCUGAGGAGCAUGCCUGUUUGAGUGUCAUUAAAUUCUCAACCACACUGACUUUGAUCGGUGUGGCUUGGAUUUGGGGAGUUGCUGGCUGACCCUCGGGACGGUCGGCUCUCCUUAAAAGCAUUAGCGAAAGGUGACAAGCCCUGCAUGCACGGCCUUCGACGUGAUAAUGAUCGUCGUGGCUGGAGUGUGAGGCGUAGAUAGUCCAUUUUUUGCUUCCAAAAACAUCGGUAUUUUGGGGAGUUUGCUUCGGCGGACGAACCUUUUUGCCCUUUUUGACGCUUGACCUCAAAUCAGGUAGGACUACCCGCUGAACUUAAG
rnacentral:misc_RNA from 1 species